UGCGCUGCCAACAAGUGCCGAAACUGGAAAUACGACCGAGCCCCUUCCAUGAUUAGUACAUACCUCGCCUGAUUUACGCCAUUGGUUGGGUGGCAUACUCAUGAAAACGAUUCACGAAGAUGAUAGAGCACUUGAGUAAGGUAAAAUUCGAGUACGGCUUUUACUGUCACGGUUUUUUUGUGCGUCGACUUCAAUUUUUGGGCGGAACCUUGGAUCAAGCCCGACUCUGCAUGCUUCCUAUUACCUGGUACUUCUUAAUAACACGUUCGUACAUGUCCCCGGUAGAUCUUGAGGGCAAACAUGCAGUGUCCAACGACGUACGCAAUCCUGCGGAAUAUAUGCUAAGAUACAAGUAACGGAAGAAACAACUUUAAAAACUACCUCGGUGACGAUCAAAUUCUGUGCAGCUUUUCAGAGGGUUGAGUUAUAUACGACAACGUACUGCCUCUGCCAUGCAGUGUUAUGUUUAACAAAUGUUUA